rnacentral:rRNA from 1 species
GUGCCAGCAGCCGCGGUAAUACCGGCAGCCCGAGUGAUGGCCGAUGUUAUUGGGCCUAAAGCGUCCGUAGCCGGCCGGGCAAGUCCGUCGGGAAAUCCGCGCGCUCAACGCGCGGGCGUCCGGUGGAAACUGCGUGGCUUGGGACCGGAAGGCGCGACGGGUACGUCCGGGGUAGGAGUGAAAUCCCGUAAUCCUGGACGGACCGCCGAUGGCGAAAGCACGUCGCGAAGACGGAUCCGACAGUGAGGGACGAAAGCUAGGGUCUCGAACCGGAUUAGAAACCCCAGUAGUCC